AACGCACAUUGCGCCCCUUGGUAUUCCGAGGGGCAUGCCUGUUCGAGCGUCAUUACACCACUCAAGCUCUGCUUGGUAUUAGGCCAUCGUCCCGCGAAAGCAGGGCGUGCCCCAAAAACCUCGGCGGAGCCUCACCGGCUUUGGGCGUAGUAGAAUUUCUCAACGUUCAAGUCUCCGGUAGGGCCUCCAUUGCCGUUAAACCCCCAAUUUUUUCAAGGUUGACCUCGGAUCAGGUAGGGAUACCCGCUGAACUUAA
rnacentral:misc_RNA from 1 species